CGUGUCAGUGGUGAAGCUGCCGGGUGACUGUGUGGUGGAGUUGAUGCGAGUGAGAAUGCAGGCAUGAGUAGCGUGUGACGGGUGGGAAUCCCGUCCGCCGAUUAUCCAAGGGUUCCAGGGUCAAGUUUGUCUGCCCUGGGUGAGUCGGGUCCUAAGGCGAGGCCGACAGGCGUAGUCGAUGGGUAACCAGUUGAUAUUCUGGUACCGGCUUGUCACCGUCCGUGUCGAGGUGUGUGAUGCUAAGCAUGUGAGCUUGUCUUGGGAGUGUUUUUGAUGCUUCUGGGGUGGGUGAGUGUGUGAACCGAUCAUGUAGUAGGCAAGCUGCGGAGGGACGCAGUGAGGUAGCUCAUCCCCGGUGAUGGUUGUCCGGGGCUAAGUGUGUGGACUGUCUGGUAGGUAAAUCCGCUGGGCGUGAAGGUUGAGGCAUGAUGGGGAGCCCAUGGUUGUGGGUGAGUGAGUGAUCCUGUACUGUCGAGAAAAGCUUCGUGAGCGAGGUGGCGGGUCCGCCCGUACCCUAAACCGACACUGGUGGAUAGGUAGAGUAUACCGAGGCGAUCGAGUGAAUCGUGGUGAAGGAACUCGGCAAAAUGCCCCCGUAACUUUGGGAUAAGGGGGACCUGAGCUGUCGUGCACCCGUGCGGUGUGGUGGCGGUGAGGGGCGCAGAGUCCAGGGGGAAACGACUGUUUACCAAAAACACAGGUCCGUGCGAAGUCGUAAGACGAUGUAUACGGACUGACUCCUGCCCGGUGCUGGAAGGUUAAGGGGAACUGUGAGUGUAUGCGUAGCGGUGAACUUAAGCCCCAGUAAACGGCGGUGGUAACUAUAACCAUCCUAAGGUAGCGAAAUUCCUUGUCGGGUAAGUUCCGACCUGCACGAAUGGAGUAACGAUUUCCCUACUGUCUCCACCAUGAACUCGGUGAAAUUGCAUUACGAGUAAAGAUGCUCGUUACGCGCAGCAGGACGGAAAGACCCCGGGACCUUUACUAUAGUUUGGUAUUGGUGAUUGGGACGGUUUGUGUAGGAUAGGUGGGAGACGUUGAUGCGGCCACGCUAGUGGUGGUGGAGUCGUUGGUGAAAUACCACUCUGAUUGUUCUGGUUAUCUCACUGUGGACCGUGAUCCGGUUCAAGGACAGUGCCUGAUGGGUAGUUUGACUGGGGCGGUCGCCUCCUAAAGGGUAACGGAGGCGCCCAAAGGUUCCCUCAGCCUGGUUGGUAAUCAGGUGGUGAGUGUAAGUGCACAAGGGGGCUUGACUGUGAGACUGACAGGUCGAGCAGGGACGAAAGUCGGGACUAGUGAUCUGACGGUGGCUUGUGGAUGCGCCGUCACUCAACGGAUAAAAGGUACCCCGGGGAUAACAGGCUGAUCUUGCCCGAGCGCUCAUAGCGACGGCAUGGUUUGGCACCUCGAUGUCGGCUCGUCGCAUCCUGGGGCUGGAGUCGGUCCCAAGGGUUGGGCUGUUCGCCCAUUAAAGCGGCACGCGAGCUGGGUUCAGA
rnacentral:rRNA from 1 species